rnacentral:rRNA from 1 species
AGUGAACGCUGGCGGUAGGCCUAACACAUGCAAGUCGAACGGCAGCACAGUAAGAGCUUGCUCUUACGGGUGGCGAGUGGCGGACGGGUGAGGAAUACAUCGGAAUCUACUUUUUCGUGGGGGAUAACGUAGGGAAACUUACGCUAAUACCGCAUACGACCUACGGGUGAAAGCAGGGGAUCUUCGGACCUUGCGCGAUUGAGUGAGCCGAUGUCGGAUUAGCUAGUUGGCGGGGUAAAGGCCCACCAAGGCGACGAUCCGUAGCUGGUCUGAGAGGAUGAUCAGCCACACUGGAGCUGAGACACGGUCCAGACUCCUACGGGAGGCAGCAGUGGGGAAUAUUGGACAAUGGGCGCAAGCCUGAUCCAGCCAUACCGCGUGGGUGAAGAAGGCCUUCGGGUUGUAAAGCCCUUUUGUUGGGAAAGAAAAGCAGCAGGUUAAUACCCCGCUGUUCUGACGGUACCCAAAGAAUAAGCACCGGCUAACUUCGUG